rnacentral:tRNA from 1 species
GGGGAUUUAGCUCAGUUGUAGAGCACUUGCCUAGCAAGCUCAAGGCCCUGGGUUCGGUCCCCAGCUCAAAAAAAAAAAAAAAAAAGCACUGCUAUUCCAGAGGACCUGGGUUCACUUCCCAGCAUCCACA